AUUGAGAUAAAAGUCUUGUCUUGAGUAAUCGUUGAAUUGCUCCACCCCCAACCAUUUUAGUCAAUUACUCUGUUAUUUCCAACAAGAAAGAAAUGGAAAAUAACAAAUUAAUUGGCCAAUCCCGAAAGAACUUGAUUAAACAUUUCAAAGAUGCCAUCAAAAAAAUAAAUUGAUAUGAGUUAUUAACUAUGCCCAAUAUAGAGAUCAGAUAUAAACAUAAAAAAAAAAACCAGCUAGACAUCCAAAGAAGGGACUCGGAUUCUGAACAGAGUUUUUGGUAGGUAAAAAAAAUUUGCACAACAAGAGGAAAAAAAGAAAUUCAUCGCAACCAGUAAGCCAGAUCUUUAAUAUUAACUACUGCAAAUUCUAAAUCUUUCAUAUAAUUCCCAAUCACUCAUUAUAGUUCCGCUAACUUGUGUAACUAGUUGCCUGUAGGUCUUUCGACACUACUUAGUUCCAACUACUCAUCCUUAAUAUUCACUUAAAGACCCAUUGAUUUCUUAUUAUAUAUCCACCAAGGGCCUUACCAGUCAAAGAAGUACAUACAUUCUAAAAUAUUUCUCAUGUAAUUUUUUUGCUGCUUUAAGGGUGCGUGAAUGGACAAUAAAUUUAUCUUGUUGACUUAGUCUGAUACUAUACACACACACAACACUAGCCCAACAUAGUAAUAUCAUUUUAGUUUAAAUUUGCACACCAUAGCAUUCCACUUUACCAAUAGGAAUAAAAUCAGGUUAAAUUUAUAGGAAAAUUUUACUUUUUUCUGCAAGUAAAUAGCUAAAAUAUUCGUAAUCUACUAAUCUCCAUUCCAUCAAUACACAAAUUAACAAUGAAACAAUCAGGCACCAAUCAAAAAAUAUUGUCCGUUCAUUUUUCUACUUCCUACCCGGCUCCUUCACAAGUCUUAGUGUAAUGAGUAAUUAAAAGUUUUUUACUUCCGCUGUUCCCUUUAGACUUUAUUUUUGUUCAAGAUCACUCUUAGCUGAUUUUAUUUCCUCCAACCAAACAGAGCAUUGGCGUAUACUCAAAGACGCACACGUAUCAGAUUCACAAAAGCAAGAUAUAAUAAACAAAAAUGAAAUGUAAAAUUAAGCAAUAAAUCCGAAACAUAAGGUAGCAAUAGAUACAGAUCCUAAAUGUAAACAAGUCAACAGUAGCAGAUUUACAAAUGUAAAAAAUAAAUACAAAAUCAAGCGAAAUAAGAAAAAGUCAAGAAUCGAUUACAUCGGGGGAGAGAGAUAGAGAGAGAGAGAGAGACUGACCGUAGAUCUCCGAAGCGGAAGCUUAGGGUAUGAAGGAGAUGUGUAAGUAUAUGUUGUAUGUAUUGGUGGCUCUAAUUUGUUUCGAUGAUUAGUUAUCGGAUUAUUUUAGGGGCCG
rnacentral:lncRNA from 1 species